UGCUACUACUACACAGUAAAAUCCACAGUGUUAAAUAUGCAGUGUCAAAGUCCAUUGACUCUUUCAGAGUUAUUUCAACACCAGCUUGAGUAAGAUGCCCCCUGGUGUUGGUGUUAAUUUACGGAGUUAAAACAGUGGUGUCAAAAGUACUCUGAGAAGCCACGCCUCUCUCCUCGCCUCAUUUCUAACGGCUCUAACGGAUUUUUCUCAGCGCGCUUUUCCUAACGUCGACCGACUGCGGUAAGUGUCUUUUAGUCACCUAUUAAAGACAGUAUUUUGGCAUUUCAACAGGGGCAAACAUUUAGAAUACCUUAAUAAUGUUGGCUCGCCUUAUUCCAGCUGUCUUUGCAUUUUAAAAUGACAAAUUACAAUGGAUUAACAUGACCGAGUUGGGAACUAGCUUAUAUGUGUGGUCAACGUUCAACAAAUUAAGACUAACAAGCUCAUGUUAGUUAACUCAAACUCAACAGCACGACGAGCUGUUAAUACAGUGUGGAGGGGUGAUUAUUUUGUAGUCUUUAUGAAACUACUAGCUACUCAAGUACUUAAGUUAGCUAGCUACUGAUAUUGUAUUCUUGCAGCCGCACGGUCGACUUUAAGAGGACAUUUGAAUCGGUUACAUUUAUAUUAUUAAUAUAUUUAUCUAUUUUAUGCAGUCAUCUGUUGAUUUAAGUUAGCUGAUCUCAGGUCUGCUGAAACUCGCAGCCACGCCUCCAUUUGACUCGUUCAGAACAACAUGACUCAAGCUAAAGCACGAGGGAAGCAUUGAAGCUAGCAGCUACUAUUACAGACUAGCUAACGGCGCACAGCAGUGUGCUGACGUCCUCCGCCAGAGACCCGCGCUGAGAGCGAGAGGAGCAGGACGUGUGUUACUGGGCUCGAUCACACCAGACGCGCCUCUCAAAAACGCGUCGCCCGCUAAACCAUUGAUUCCCUAUGGUACGGCGCGACUUUCAUAUUUUAAAUAUCUUGAACCCAAAAUUAACGGUUGGUUGCGCACGCAGGUCCGUUCCACAGGUGCACUGCGCUGUUUUGCCCGGCGUAUUUUUGCCUCGGCGUUUUUGGUGCGGCUGCGUCUUUUAGAGUCGCGUCUGGUGUGUUCGAGCCCUAAAACGGCUCCUGCUGCUUUCUGCUGUAACGUCAACAAGCUAACGGUGUGCGCGGGGUGUAACUACAGAGACUUUUAACUGACCAAUGUGCUGCUACUCUUUACAGGGGCCAUGCUACUGAAGGCGAAACUCGGGGGUGUCCAAACAUUUGGCCGAAUAACGGAACCAACUCUGAGGGAGUUUUUGGCUGCAGCAUUUGCAAAGUUUGGUGUCCCAGCCAUAACCGAAGGGGUGAAAGUUGUUGACGGUCGGGAACUGAGUUGGAUGACGAUGUGUUUGAGGACGUAGUGAAGGAUCCAUCAACUGGCGCGCUAACCAUCAAAUACGACACAGAAUCUGUCUCCGGUGCAACAUCCUGGGAGCAGUCCCAACCAUCAGCCCUGGAUUCAUCAGACUCGCAGGAUACAAUGAUUCUUUCUGAAAGUCCUUCUGGAAGACUACAGAGGCUAAGCAGUUGAUGGAAUCCAUUCUUACCAAGAAAUCUGGUGGGAACUGAUAAUAAAUUAAUACAACCGAACCAAGUCCUUGAUGGAUGAAAGCAGAAGUAAAAUGGUGAACAUUCUAGCAGCUGGCAUAACAGAGAAAAAUGGUACAUCACCACCCAGAGAGUUGAAGGAAAUGUAUGCUAAAGGUAUCGUGGCUUUAUUCCCCUACCUCAGUGACCCUUAUUCCAAGAAUGGCUAUGAGCAUUAUUAUGAUGGUCAGAGUGGGACUGGGUACCUCGCCUGGAGGAUUAAAACUAUUCAGAGGUGCACUGCUAAAGACAGACGAUCAGCAUUUGGAGAUGGUGUUUAAUCAGCCAAAGGACCAGAUGACAUGUCUGGAGGACCAACUGUCAGACGAGAGUCCGAGUUUCUUCUUGAGACUGUCCCGAGCGACGAUGAAUGUAAAGAAGCCAUCUCAUUGAUGAAACAUUCUGCUGAUGAGGACACACUCAAGAAAAAGAUGAAACUGACAUUUGUCUAUCGCCGCAACAUGAUCCUUGACCCCCAGCAGUCAAGGGACAUCCUGUCUGACUUUCCGCGUUUUAAAGAUGGCAAAGGCUUGGUUGAACAGGAUUUCGUUCUGAUGUUUGGAGAGGAUACAUCAGACAAGCUUCUGGAGAAGUGGCCAACCACAUUUAAGAAAAGAUCAUCAAACAAUGCUCCAUCAGGGAGCUUGAUGAACACCUUCUGGCAGCUGAUCCUUCUGAGGAUGGCACUGAAGUGGAUGUGGACUUUGAUAUACUGAUGUGUGUUAACAACAAAACUGUUACAGGUUGGGACGGGGACCUGUCUUCGCUUCUACUGUUGCUGCACCUGAUUCCACCUUCUGCUCGGGGUCGGGAGAAACCAGGAAAGGUGUCUACAUCCCAAGCAGAGAAGCAUCUUGUGGGAUUCAAGAAGGUUAUACAUUUUUCUAAUUUAUGACUAAUUUUAAAAUCCCACCACUGAUCAUUUACAUUUCUUACUAUAGUUCCCAAUACUGAUAAGCUUUAAAAACAUUACACUGACAUUAGCCAAAAAGCAUCAAAGUUGUAAGGGGAUGUAUUGGGAGUCUUUCAGCAAGGGAAGAUUAACUUUAGGUCCAGGAAAGAUGGUGACACUUCAUGAGCUAAAAGAGGGUUCAGAGAUUGCUUUCAAACUUGGAGCUGUAUCAUCUACCAGUGUGUUUUCUGCGAAGUGGAUAAAACAUUAUGGUACAGAGUACCGCCCCAACUUCAUUAUCUGUACUGUGUUUAGUAAGAUAAGGACUAUUGUUGUUAAAGAUGACUGUGUAUUGCUCUGUGUAAACUUGCUGGAAACCAUCUGUUUCGAUCAGCAUUACCAUGCCUUUAAGGUUAGGCUGCAUCCUUACAGGCUUGUCAAGGUAUUGCACAUAAAUGACCUGUUUUAUAAUAAACCAUUUGAUCUUCAAAUGCAGUACGGCAUGGCAGACUCCACCUUGUACAUUGUCCCUUAUUGCCAUUUUAUGCAGAUCGAAGGUCAAUGUUUUGUAUUGUUGCCCUGCACAAUAAAGAAAUGUGAAAUGCA